GUGCCACUUUGGCAGCACAUAUACUAAAAUUGGAAUGAUACAGGGAAGAUCAGCAUGGCCCAUGACACCCAAAUUCGUGAGGUGUUCCAUAUGUUA
rnacentral:snRNA from 1 species